ensembl:lncRNA
GGGCGCUCUCCCCGCGGUGCGGGACGCCCCGGGGGCACCGCCCCGCGCACCUGCGGACCUGACGGCGGACUCGCCCCGGCGCGGGCACGGGCGGCUGAGCAAUGUUUAUUCGGGACGGGCGGCCUGUGCCGUCUGUGGCUGCCCUCAUCCUAGCAUCACAUGCGCUAGCGCUCCCCAGCCAGCCUGCUCUAGCAGCGAAGUGACAAGACAGGCUGUCUCCACUUUCAAUAGCUGAUUUUGAAGCUGUGGUUUUUUGUGCUUUGUUCUCUAAGGGAUGCAGCAAGAGCACCUGAGCAGUGACUUCUGACAAGAAAGUAGGAAAUGUGAGCUUUCACAGUAGCCAUCACGGUCAAGCUUUUCUUUUCACAGGGGUAAUAUUCAAUUAGGAAAUUCCUAUGGAGCAGAGGGGGAAACCAGCAGGCAAGGAGUCAAAAUCUCUGCAAUCAGCACUGAUAAAGAACUGUUAUUUUGGGAUAAGAAGAAUUGGCAUAAAAAGAAAAAGCAUAAAAGGCUGCAGCAGGAGGCCUGAAAUGGGCGCUGAGUACUCUCCUUACUCAGCAAGGAUGUGUUUGCCAUGGCUUCUGGAAUCAGCCUCACUUGGUUGGUGCAUGACAGCUCUGCUAACCAGACCUUCACCUGGCUUAUGGAGACCCAGAACAAGAAGGAGCAGAGACAGUUCCCCAGAAGCCUCAGUGUGGCAGCACAAGGCAACAGGUAGAAGAGUGAGUCUCCUGCUUAAUACCCAACACAGCAUGUUUUGCUCUGAGUUCAAGACUACUGCUGCAACACCAGGUGUGAACUUCCAGCAAAGAGAAAACCUCAAGAACUGGAGCCACUGCUUUAGCAGUAGACUAAUUAAACUAUAUCAACUCUUGGAGAGAGUUGAUAUAAAAAUGAAAGGGAUGGUGAAAGGUUUAAAAAACAACCUGAAAAUGGACCAUGAGAGAUGGAAACCAAGGUCUGUUUAUUAAGAAAACUCAUGUAAGAUCUACAAUUAUUUCUCUAUAAGAGUUCAGCAGACCACAGAACACCAAAACAAGAGCACUUUGUUGGCAGCUUCAUAUGUGACAAAAUGUAGGAGAGAGCUUUCUACUGGAAGCUAAAAUGAACUUAUCUGUGAAAUACCUACUGGAAUGAAAGGUGGAAGAGACCAACUCACUUCUUAUAGUUUAUGUAAUAUUGUUCCUUGUUAACAACCUUGAAGGGUCUGAACCUGCAACUGUAUAUCAAUGUAAGUCUCAAGAAUGUUAAGUUUUCCUGCUGUCUUUUACAAGCAGGCAAUAUAUGGAGGUUGAGUUUCUUUAUAGAUAGGCCACUUAUUUUUACAGAAUAAGAGGAAAGCUCACAAGAUUGUGAGGAACCUUUGAGUUUACAGAGAUUAAUGAGAUUAAAUCAGUGUUGUUGUUCAGAUCCCCUUUUGAUUUCUUUUUGGUUUUCCUUUUUGAUUUCCUUUUGACUUUCCCAGUUCUCUCUGCUUCUAUAAAGGCCAGCCUCUGUUUGAGAGAUGUAAAACUACAAAAAAGGUCAAGUGCAGAGAAGUACAAUAUUUUUAUUUUGUUAUGCCCUAAAAUACAGAUGGAGUUAGAUUUCUGUUUCACCUCAAAUAUUUUAGCAGUGUUAAUAUAAAACACAAAAUCAUUCAAUCAUAUCCAGAGAGAUGUAAGAAAGAUCAUGAGUGAUUGCAGUAAGGAGUUAAUCCACUGUAAUCAUACCUGUAGGGUCAGAAUGACACCCAUCAAUUUAAGACUCCACAUUUACUAUUUUCAAGAAGUAAAAUUUCUUAUUAAAAAAUCCAUCCAUUCAUAAUUAAUAAGGAUCCAGUGGUCCUUACCUGUCCUCCUGACUCACUGUUAAAUUUUACCCACUAAUAUGAUUCCUUCACAGGUGUGAUGGAAUAGCCCUGAAAUAGAGAAAAAAAUGUUUUUUUGUAAAAAGUUUUCAAGAACUCAGGACUGAGGCUUGUCAUGUCUAUCUUAUUGGAAGGUUUCUUAACCUGCCUGUAGCUUUGUGUUACUUGUUUUAGAUCUGACAAAAAAUUUUUCAUAUAGACCAGGUGUUUCUAGCCAUUUGGUUUACUUUUGUUUUUCUUUCUCUGUUACAGCCACUGUUAUAUAUAGGUAGCAGUAAUAAGCAAUUGCUCUAUGCAAAUGAGAUAUUUAUGAUUCUGGAGUGGAAUUCCCUGUCGCCCUGAGAAUCAGGGCCUUGAUAUUGUUUUUCUACAAGUUCUCACCAUUUUCCCAAGAAACUAACUAUAAGCAUAAGUGUUUAUACAUUUCCAUUAAAGAUAUGCCUUUUGAUGGACAUCUCUCACUGCCAGUGUGGUUGGGAAGGUGGUAACCUGACUAUCCAAUCCCUGGUCAUAGUCAGAAACCUAUAAAUACUGAAAGAAAAAAUUUCAUAUCCAACAGUGACAAUUCCUUUGCUCAGUUUACAUCCAUUCCAGGUGAUUAUUUCAUAUUGCAUGGGUCCUGGGGAUUCUUGGUUAACAGCAACAUCUAUAGAGGUAUUUUAAAAGCCUGUUUGUCUGAAUAUCUCUAUCUCAAGCAUGUAGAGGGGAAAGGAAUUUUUUUAUUGUUGAAAAACCAGAUUUUAAUUAUAAUCAUAUAUUCUGUCUAUAAUUCUGAAGUGAAGAACACAAUUCAGAAUCCUGAAUGUUUGUACAGAGGCUCUACUAAAUUGCUUAGAGAACAUUUGCAUGAGAGCAUCAUUUUCCAUUAAAUUAAUACUGAUCAUACUCAUAGUCUGGAAUUAAUUGGAUAAUUCUCAUGCUUGUACAACUCCCAUCUAUACAGUAUAGAACAGUAUGAUAACUGUAUUCAAAGAAUGAAAGCAAAUAACAUAUGUAAUCAGUAUGACAUCAAACCAAGGUUCAGCUAUGAGCACUUCAUUCCAUUUCCCAAUCUGUAGUGCUUCAAAUGAAGAGUGUGUGUGGAAGUGAAUUCUACUCUGAGCUCUUGUCUUAAUGGCAUCAUCAAUGAAAUACCAAUGUCCAUCUUGUAAUCACUACACUUCUAAAGGUUCAUUUCAUAUGGUUGAUACAAGAACUCUCCAUUUAGCUUCAUUCAUGCUCUAAGGACUACAUUUCAGCAGAUCACUUCUACUAGACUCAAGGUAUCUGUAAAUUGACAUAGAAAUAAAGUGUAUGUAUAAAAAACUCUAUAUGUUUUU